rnacentral:tRNA from 1 species
GCCCGAAUAGCUCAAUGGUAGAGCGAGCGGCUGUUAACCGCUAGGUUGCAGGUUCGAUCCCUGCUUCGGGCG